AGGAAGCAAAGCGGAUGAACAGGAAGCUAAAGUAAAUACCACAGUGACACGUGAGGGGUGGAAGGUGGUUAGUUUAUUUUUUAAAGAGUUUUCAGACCAUCAGUACAUACGUUUCAGUUUCUAGAUCCAAAUCUCUAAGUGCUUUUCUCCAACUGGUGGGAUGAUUGAAAUUAGAGAGUAAGACGAGAAUUCACUGUGCUGGAUUUUUCAUUCCAGGUGCAGAGCUUUAAAGGAUUAUGGAGUCUGAAGACCAAAUGGGAUGAUGGAGAACAGCUAUUCAGUGGUACAAAUGUAAAUGCUCCCAGGCCCGGGCAGGUAAUUUAAGUGAGUGAAGCAGGGCAAAGUGUAAUUGUGUAAGCAGACAUUUGCUGACUCCACAUACCACUAGGGAACUAUACUUUCCCCUGGCAGAAAGACAAUCAGCUCCAGCCUAUUAUUGCGUACAGUAAGGCUAACCAAAGUGAGGGGCUACUCUAACUUUUCAGGAAAAUCCAGCAGUCUUGAUUUUUAUGUAGUUUCCAAAAUGUUUUUGUUAUGGUUCAUUUGGAGAGCAGCCUUUUGAUCUCCAGUUUGCUACUUUUAAUCUAGUCUAAUCACACAUCUUGCAGUUGUAGAAACCAGACCCAGAGAAGCUGAGCACCUUGCUUAAAGUCCUGCAGCAAAGGAUAACACUGGGGCUCAAAACAUCUUUUGGAAUACUAUAUCACCAUUAACAACUUGUGGUAAAUAAAUUUUAUCAGCAAUUAGUAACUACUGGAGAUAGGCAAGUUUUGAAGAGAGACAGAAAAUACAUGGGUCUGACGCUGGACAAAUUGUUCAUGGGGCAGAGGUAAGUGAGGAGCUGUGGAAAUGGUGGGUGAGGGUCUGGGACAGGAGCAGAAACAAUUAGACGCAGCAUGAGGGCCUCAGAUGUCUACAGCAGAGCUAUGGCUAGCACCAACAGGCAAAAAGGAUUCUGAAAUUGGAGGUGGGAAGGCGCUAAGAUGACUGACCAUACUGGAUUUUCUGAGAUGCAGGACUUUCAGUUUGAAAACAGACUGUCCUGUGCGAAUCAGAAACACUAAUCACCCUAAAAGGCACUAGCAAAAAUUUUUCAUACUUCAUUGUUUGUUGUGUCAUGCCGUUGGUCAAUGUAUUAAUAAACUAUUGGUAUAAUAAAGCUACAAAACAAACAGCCCCCGAAAUCUUAGCGGCUUUCAACCACAAACAUUUCUCUUUUUGCUCUGCAAGCCUACUCUGGUUUGGCUGAUCGAGACUGGACUCAGCUGGACUCUAGCUUGAGAAUUGAAUGUAAGUCUCCUCUGCAUGCUUCUUCAUUCCUCACUCAUGUUUUUUCUAGGGCAAUUUAUUCUUCUAGAAAUGGUAAGCACAAGAGGCCAAGGCAAAUUUUACAAACACACUGAAAGCCUUGGUUCACAUCAAAUGCACUAACAUUCCGUUGACUUAAGCAAGUCAUGUGCCCAGACCCAACAUCAGUGGUGUGGAGAAAUGUGCACCACUUACUCUGAUGCAGUAUUAUUGCCAGGUUAUCUGGUAAAGCGCAUGGAUGUGUAUUCCUUCUAUAUGGAGGGAGUGAAGAGUGUGAACAAUAAUCUAUAGAGUCAG
rnacentral:lncRNA from 1 species